rnacentral:rRNA from 1 species
ACCUACGGGGGGCAGCAGUAGGGAAUCUACCACAAUGGGCGAAAGCCUGAUGGAGCAACGCCGCGUGGGUGAAGAAGGUCUUCGGAUCGUAAAACCCUGUUGUUAGAGAAGAAAGUGCGUGAGAGUAACUGUUCACGUUUCGACGGUAUCUAACCAGAAAGCCACGGCUAACUACGUGCCAGCAGCCGCGGUAAUACGUAGGUGGCAAGCGUUAUCCGGAUUUAUUGGGCGUAAAGGGAACGCAGGCGGUCUUUUAAGUCUGAUGUGAAAGCCUUCGGCUUAACCGGAGUAGUGCAUUGGAAACU